GUCGUAACAAGGUUUCCGUAGGUGAACCUGCGGAAGGAUCAUUAUUGAAUAAACUUGGUUGUGGGUUGUUGCUGACUCUUAGGAGUAUGUGCACGCCCACGCCAAUUUUUAACCACCUGUGCACCUUGUGUAGAUUCAGGUAUUUGGAAAUUGCUGUUAACCAGCUGUUCUCGUAUCUGGGUCUAUGUUUUUAUAAACUCAAAUGAGUAUCAGAAUGUUGUAUUAUAGGCUUUUGUACCUUUAAAAACAAAAAACAACUUUCAACAACGGAUCUCUUGGCUCUCGCAUCGAUGAAGAACGCAGCGAAAUGCGAUAAGUAAUGUGAAUUGCAGAAUUCAGUGAAUCAUCGAAUCUUUGAACGCACCUUGCGCUCCUUGGUAUUCCGAGGAGCAUGCCUGUUUGAGUGUCAUGAAAUUCUCAACCUCAUUAUCUUUUGCGAACUAGUGAGGCUUGGAUAAUGGAAGUUGCUGGCUUCUCUGAGAAUCAGCUCUUCUUAAAUGUAUUAGCACAACCCUCUGCUGAUCAUCUUUGGUAUGAUAAUUAUCUAUACCAUGGACUCGGCGCUCCCCUAUGUGGGAAUGGUUACGCUUCUAACCCGUCUAUUCAGACAACUUAUGACAAUUUGACCUCCAAUCAGGUAGGAUUACCCGCUGAACUUAAGC
rnacentral:rRNA from 1 species